AGUGAACGCUGGCGGUAGGCCUAACACAUGCAAGUCGAACGGCAGCACAGUAAGAGCUUGCUCUUACGGGUGGCGAGUGGCGGACGGGUGAGGAAUACAUCGGAAUCUACUUUUUCGUGGGGGAUAACGUAGGGAAACUUACGCUAAUACCGCAUACGACCUACGGGUGAAAGCAGGGGAUCUUCGGACCUUGCGCGAUUGAAUGAGCUGAUGUCGGAUUAGCUAGUUGGCGGGGUAAAGGCCCACCAAGGCGACGAUCCGUAGCUGGUCUGAGAGGAUGAUCAGCCACACUGGAACUGAGACACGGUCCAGACUCCUACGGGAGGCAGCAGUGGGGAAUAUUGGACAAUGGGCGAAAGCCUGAUCCAGCCAUACCGCGUGGGUGAAGAAGGCCUUCGGGUUGUAAAGCCCUUUUGUUGGGAAAGAAAAGCAGCAGGUUAAUACCCCGCUGUUCUGACGGUACCCAAAGAAUAAGCACCGGCUAACUUCGUG
rnacentral:rRNA from 1 species